UUACGUGAGUAAGAGAGGAGAGAAACCGAGAGUGAGAUGGAAUUUAAGACAGAGAGCUGAAGAGGAAGAAAGAGAGUUUAGGCGAGAGAGAGAGAGAGAGAGAGAAAGUCAGUGAAGGGAUUGUUAUGGGUAUGGACCAACUGCAGCAGAACGGGUUUCAAGUAAUUACCUUUGAUGAUCCAUUCAUGUAAUCCACUUUUUUUGUAGUGCUUGCAGGAAUGGAAAAUCAAGGUAAUUAUGCAGUUGUGAUUAGAGAUUCAUAUUGAGAUGUACAGAGAUUCCAAGUUGGUUAAGUUUUGUCUAGAGUUUAGACUGUCGGAUAGAUUUGUAUAAAUGCCUUGUACGACAUAGCUUUGGGUAUUUUUGUAUAAAGAAAAGUAUUUUAACAGUAUACUUUUGUAUUGAUAAUUACAGUUUUUCCGCUAUAUGAGAUUAGGUUGUUACAA